UGUGAGCUCGUGAGGUCAAGCCUGCA
rnacentral:piRNA from 1 species